UACAGAGGUCUCAAGCGUUGUUCGGAUUCAUUGGGCGUAAAGGGUGCGUAGGCGGCGCGGUAAGUCGGGUGUGAAAUCUCGGGGCUUAACUCCGAAACUGCAUUCGAUACUGCCGUGCUUGAGGACUGGAGAGGAGACUGGAAUUUACGGUGUAGCGGUGAAAUGCGUAGAUAUUGGGAAGAACACCGGUGGCGAAGGCGGCGCUCUGGACCGAUACUGACGCUGAGGCGCGAAAGCGUGGGGAGCAAACAGG
rnacentral:rRNA from 1 species